UAAAAUUCCAAAAAAGUAUGCAAAACAGAAUAACAAUUCAAUUCUAUUAGAUAAAUAUAUAUAUAUCAUGUAUGUAAAAGCAAUAAAACAUGCCAACAGAAGAGGAAGUAAUGCUCCUCGGACCUGACGAUUUAGUAAACAUUCUUGGCUUAAGCUUUUGAUGAUCAUAUGAAUUAUAAUAUUGACUGGACUGCCAACGUUUCAGAAUACGUCUUAGACUACAUGAAACCACAGUGCAAGCAACAUUAAAUGAUAUAUUGAUAUAUUUGUUACAGAAAUUCGUGUUCCCACAAUUACAGAACAAAACUUUGAAAAUUUGACCGAUCUUGUUGAAGCGAGAAGAAUUCAUCCCAGAGCUUCGAAUAAUAUAAUCGCUCGUUCAGCAAAAAAAGUCCCUUUAUUACGGAUGUGUCGUUUAAUAGCAUUGUUAUUGGCUACACCAUUCCCACUAUUAUUUAUGAGAAUUCUUCAUAUAAAAGACGAGGAUAGAAUUUGUUUGCUAAAUAAUUAAAUUUCUCCAACCUACACGUACAGAGAAAUUAAAGACAUAUGGUGGCAAGUAAACUCUAAACACCUUGAUGUUACAAUACAACAACUUAAGGAACAGCUGUUGGUAAUUUAGACUGGAAAUGGUAUAACUCGUCUAAAGUUUUAAAUUACUAUUGUUAUUAUAUUUAAAUAAUGUUUGAAUUU